AAUAUUUAAACGAGAGGAAUGAUGGGUGGACGAUGAUUAACUAAUCUUAUUUUUUAUCAAUUGAAAUUAAAUAUUUCAACUUGUACAAAAGAUAGGAUUAGUCUGCCCAUUUUUCAAUGUUCGGUAUUUCAUAUAAUGCACGCGCUACGACUCGUAGCUUUUUUCCGCAUGCAUUGUAUAAGACUAGUCCUUCCAAUUGACUUUGGGAGGAUUUUUUU
rnacentral:sRNA from 1 species